rnacentral:lncRNA from 1 species
ACGCCAUGAAAGCAACUGAAACAGUGCCCGAAUAUACUCAACGUUUUCACGAUAUAAUUCGUGAAGCGAAAGAUAUGAACCCUAGCGAUCAAAUCGGCUGGUACGUUAAGGGGUUACUACCACCUUUGCGCAGCCGAUGUGCGACAAGCGAAGAGGGCAAAGAUUGGGACAGCUUAGAUAAGCUAAUCCUUUACGCUGUUGGGCAAGAAGUUCGAUGGCAGUCGGGCAAAGACAAGCCUACCGUCCAUGCAGUUAGCGCUGACCUUAAUGCGAUCACUGCUAAAAAGCCCUUCAAUAAAUUUAAGCGUUCGUCCUCUGAUCGCAAUUCGCAGGGUUGGCAACCCGCCAAUCGGCCCAAGAAGGCGCGUCUGGAGCAAGAACAGCUGGCGGCACACACUUGCCGCAAAUGCCGUCGCGUGAAGCCCGCCCACCAGAGCUGGGCGGAGCACAAGCCCGACUGCAUUCGACACCUCAAGGCUAACGCCGAGAAGACGCUGUCCCUUGCCGCGAAGAUGGAGAAUGCCAUGGCUGAUUAGCGGGUCGGCAAGCGUGUUGUUGGGGGCUGUGAGCAACCGGAAUGUCCUAAGGACUCGGCUAGCUUGCAAAUCAGAGAGUCCUUGUUGCCCGUUUGUGAUCCGCUUAGCUGUGAUCACAUGUUCCUCCCGGACGAGUUUCGUAACGUGGAGAACAUGUUGGGACGGCAGUUCACCUUUGACGCUGCUUGUAACAACUCUGGCGACAAUAGUCUUUGU